rnacentral:snRNA from 1 species
GGAUGUGAGGGCAAUCUGGCUGUGACAUCUGUCACCCCGUUGAUUGCCAGAGGUGAUUUUACUGAUCUGGAUGGCUAGGCAGGUGUCCCCUUCCUCCCUCAAUACUCCAUGUGCAUCCCUCCCAAAGCUGUGUGCUUGGUCAAAAAGGACCACCACCCCCCGAUAGAGGAGCACUGUAGAGUAGCUGCACCUCCCUGCUAGAACCUCCAAACAAGCUCUCAAGAAAAGAAAGGAACUAAUGUGCUAAAGGAACUUGAGGGACAAGAAUAGAGGAUACAAAGAGUGUGACUACUAU